AUGGGGGCGUACUAGUAUGAUAGUCGAACGGUAACAGGAAGAAGCUUGCUUCUUUGCUGACGAGUGGCGGACGGGUGAGUAAUGUCUGGGAAACUGCCUGAUGGAGGGGGAUAACUACUGGAAACGGUAGCUAAUACCGCAUAACGUCGCAAGACCAAAGAGGGGGACCUUCGGGCCUCUUGCCAUCGGAUGUGCCCAGAUGGGAUUAGCUAGUAGGUGGGGUAACGGCUCACCUAGGCGACGAUCCCUAGCUGGUCUGAGAGGAUGACCAGCCACACUGGAACUGAGACACGGUCCAGACUCCUACGGGAGGCAGCAGUGGGGAAUAUUGCACAAUGGGCGCAAGCCUGAUGCAGCCAUGCCGCGUGUAUGAAGAAGGCCUUCGGGUUGUAAAGUACUUUCAGCGGGGAGGAAGGGAGUAAAGUUAAUACCUUUGCUCAUUGACGUUACCCGCAGAAGAAGCACCGGCUAACUCCGUGCCAGCAGCCGCGGUAAUACGGAGGGUGCAAGCGUUAAUCGGAAUUACUGGGCGUAAAGCGCACGCAGGCGGUUUGUUAAGUCAGAUGUGAAAUCCCCGGGCUCAACCUGGGAACUGCAUCU
rnacentral:rRNA from 1 species